rnacentral:misc_RNA from 1 species
UGCGGAAGAUCAUUACUGAUUUGCUUAAUUGCACCACAUGUGUUUUUCUUUGAAACAAACUUGCUUUGGCGGUGGGCCCAGCCUGCCGCCAGAGGUCUAAACUUGCAACCAAUUUUUUAUCAACUUGUCACACCAGAUUAUUACUAAUAGUCAAAACUUUCAACAACGGAUCUCUUGGUUCUCGCAUCGAUGAAGAACGCAGCGAAAUGCGAUACGUAAUAUGAAUUGCAGAUAUUCGUGAAUCAUCGAAUUUUUGAACGCACAUUGCGCCCUCUGGUAUUCCGGAGGGCAUGCCUGUUUGAGCGUCGUUUCUCCCUCAAACCGCUGGGUUUGGUGUUGAGCAAUACGACUUGGGUUUGCUUGAAAGACGGUAGUGGUAAGGCGGGAUCGCUUUGACAAUGGCUUAGGUCUAACCAAAAACAUUGCCUUGCGGCGGUAACGUCUACCACGUAUAUCUUCAAACUUUGACCUCAAAUCAGGUAGGACUACCCGCUGAACUUAAGCAUAUCAAUAAGCGGAAGGANCACUUCCAUAACGAAAAACUCCCCCCUCCCCAAAAAAAAACGU